rnacentral:misc_RNA from 1 species
CCCCCCCCCCCCCCCCAUCAUCUUCUUCUCUCUUCGGUCUCUCACAGCCACGACCCAUCAUCGAUCACGGCCGCCGCCCCGGCUUGGACAGGUAGACGCGGCACUGGAUCAGUGUCCGCCCGACUCUGAACCCCGGCAGAACGGUGAAGCCGACCACGCGGUCCUCGGCGUCGUCGCCGGCGCUCCCGUCGCUGGCGCUCUCCAUGUACACCUCCGAGAAGCGCGCCCCCGUGCGCACCUGGAAGAUGGACGCGCCGUCCUCCUCGGCGCCGCCGUCGAACGCGAAGAAGAGGCAGUGCAGCAGCCACACGCGGCGCGCCAUCUCCGCGAAGUCCGCGAACCACGAGCUCUCCGGGAACCCGGGCCCGGCGCUCACGAUGCCGCGCUGCUCCAGCCGCCCGAAGAAGGCCGUCUCCAUCCGCGCGUGCACCAGCGACAGGUACUUGGCGCGCAGGAACUUGCCGAGCCCGCCCCACCGCGGGCUCCUCGCGUCCAGGAACGCGCUCGCCGGCUCCGCCUUCAGCUCCGUGAACUCCUCGAAGAAGCGCCGCCGCUCGUAGAACUCCCGCUCGCCCAGGAAGCUGAAGUUGAAGUCGCGGCGGUGGAAGUUGGCGAACAUCUUCAUCGCCACGUACGACUCGAACACGAACUUGGCGUCGCCGGCGCGCCGGAGCGGGACGCCCGGGUGCACGGCGGCGGCCGCCGCGCCCAGAUCCCACCCGGCGGACUGCAUCGAGCUCAGCAUCGACCUGGAGAAGGACCGGAUCGACUUCACCGUGUGCCGCAGCGCGGUCAGGAAGUGGGUCGGGUUCAGGCCCGAGAGGUGGAGCUCGUCCAGCGACGCCAGGGUCCGCCCCGGGUGGAGCCGCGCCUCCAGGGCGCGCUCGGCGCGGAGCUCGCCGGUCAGGGAGCUCCUGGCGCGCUCGGCCUCGGCGUCCCUGGCCCGGAGGUCCGACUCCAGCUUGCGCGCCGUGAUCUGGUACGUCUUGAGGAGGUGGCGCUGCUCCUCGGCGUGCGCCGCGAGCGCGGUGUGGCCCGCCGCCGCCGCGCCCCGGGCCGCGGCGGCGGGGUCCCUCAGGUACCUCCGCUUGGUGUCGGAGAGCCUCGUCAGCUCGGCGACCACGGCGGCGUCCGCGGACUGGAUCGCCUCCGCGUCGUAGGGGAACUGCGCGAGCUGCAGCUGCGCGUACGCCGCCUUCACCGCCGAGACCCCCGCGAAGAGGUUGGCCAGCAGCGCAUCCGCCGCGGCCUCCAGCGUCACCUCCCCCGCACCCGCAGGCUGCCGGACCGCUCCCCCUCCCGCCGCCGCCGCCUUCUUCUCGGCGGCGUUGCGGAAGAAGGCGUCGAAGGAGUAGGCGGCGGCGAGGUUCCCCGACAGCUUGAGCUUGCUGAGGGACGGGAUGGCGGGCGGAGGCUCCGUCCGCUCCUCCUCCAGCGCGUCUCCUGGAGCCACAGAAGCGGGCGCCUCGGGCGCGCCGCCCUGCGCCGCGGCCUCGGCGCGCUUGCGGCGGAGCAGCUUGGUGAAGGUGCGCGCCAGGUUGGCCGCCUUCUGCUGCUGUUGCUGCUGCUGGUGUGGCGGAGCCGCCACUUGCGUCUCCAUUGGGGCGGGCCGGGUUGCUCUCACCGCCGGCUGCUCGUCUCCCUCCUGCAGCUUCCCCCCUGUCCUCGUGUCUUGUGGCGUCCGUCCGGGCCUGGGGCCUCUCGCCUGCUUUGGCCUGUGGGUGGAAACGCGGGUGGGAUUAAUUUUUCCAGGAAUAUUUGGGGGUUACUGUAAAGUAAAAGGGACCUGCGCCUACCUGCCUAUGUACGCGUACGUAUACCGUGCGUGCGCGCACGCGUGGUUCGCCUACCGAUGAUGCAGAGGGCUGGACGUCUAAUUUGUGGAAACAGGGAGGGGCGUGGCCGCGAAAUUUCCCACACCACCACCACCACCAGUCUGUCCACCACGGGAGAAAUGAAACGGUUUUCUCUAGAGGAUUCC